GGGGCUGUAGUCUAGCCUGGUCAGGACCUGCGCUUAGGGAGCGCAAAGCCCCGGUUCAAAUCCGGGCAGCCCCA
rnacentral:tRNA from 1 species